AUUCAAUUCAAUCUUUCAAUCCACAUAACUUUCAAAUUGUAGCUCCGAUUGACAAGCUGUUUGCGGUUACGCGUCACUCUCCUCAUCCUCUUCAAUUCUAUGUAAAUAUUAUGCUUAAUUGUUGAGUUAAUUGUUGCGGGUUGGUGCCUCGUUGAGGAACUUGGUGGAGCUUGGACUGGUGGAGGCUGGAAUUGACCGAAGAAAGGAUUCAAGAGUUAGAAACCACUAUCAACGAAGUAGAGAAAGAAGAGGG